AGAGUUUGAUCAUGGCUCAGAUUGAACGCUGGCGGCAGGCCUAACACAUGCAAGUCGAACGGUAACAGGAAGAAGCUUGCUUCUUUGCUGACUAGUGGCGGACGGGUGAGUAAUGUCUGGGAAACUGCCUGAUGGAGGGGGAUAACUACUGGAAACGGUAGCUAAUACCGCAUAACGUCGCAAGACCAAAGAGGGGGACCUUCGGGCCUCUUGCCAUCGGAUGUGCCCAGAUGGGAUUAGCUAGUAGGUGGGGUAACGGCUCACCUAGGCGACGAUCCCUAGCUGGUCUGAGAGGAUGACCAGCCACACUGGAACUGAGACACGGUCCAGACUCCUACGGGAGGCAGCAGUGGGGAAUAUUGCACAAUGGGCGCAAGCCUGAUGCAGCCAUGCCGCGUGUAUGAAGAAGGCCUUCGGGUUGUAAAGUACUUUCAGCGGGGAGGAAGGGAGUAAAGUUAAUACCUUUGCUCAUUGACGUUACCCGCAGAAGAAGCACCGGCUAACUCCGUGCCAGCAGCCGCGGCAAUACGGAGGGUGCAAGCGUUAAUCGGAAUUACUGGGCGUAAAGCGCACGCAGGCGGUUUGUUAAGUCAGAUGUGAAAUCCCCGGGCUCAACCUGGGAACUGCAUCUGAUACUGGCAAGCUUGAGUCUCGUAGAGGGGGGUAGAAUUCCAGGUGUAGCGGUGAAAUGCGUAGAGAUCUGGAGGAAUACCGGUGGCGAAGGCGGCCCCCUGGACGAAGACUGACGCUCAGGUGCGAAAGCGUGGGGAGCAAACAGGAUUAGAUACCCUGGUAGUCCACGCCGUAAACGAUGUCGACUUGGAGGUUGUGCCCUUGAGGCGUGGCUUCCGGAGCUAACGCGCUAAGUCGACCGCCUGGGGAGUACGGCCGCAAGGUUAAAACUCAAAUGAAUUGACGGGGGCCCGCACAAGCGGUGGAGCAAGUGGUUUAAUUCGAUGCAACGCGAAGAACCUUACCUGGUCUUGACAUCCACGGAAGUUUUCAGAGAUGAGAAUGUGCCUUCGGGAACCGUGAGACAGGUGCUGCAUGGCUGUCGUCAGCUCGUGUUGUGAAAUGUUGGGUUAAGUCCCGCAACGAGCGCAACCCUUAUCCUUUGUUGCCAGCGGUCCGGCCGGGAACUCAAAGGAGACUGCCAGUGAUAAACUGGAGGAAGGUGGGGAUGACGUCAAGUCAUCAUGCCCCUUACGACCAGGGCUACACACGUGCUACAAUGGCGCAUACAAAGAGAAGCGACCUCGCGAGAGCAAGCGGACCUCAUAAAGUGCGUCGUAGUCCGGAUUGGAGUCUGCAACUCGACUCCAUGAAGUCGGAAUCGCUAGUAAUCGUGGAUCAGAAUGCCACGGUGAAUACGUUCCCGGGCCUUGUACACACCGCCCGUCACACCAUGGGAGUGGGUUGCAAAAGAAGUAGGUAGCUUAACCUUCGGGAGGGCGCUUACCACUUUGUGAUUCAUGACUGGGGUGAAGUCGUAACAAGGUAACCGUAGGGGAACCUGCGGUUG
rnacentral:rRNA from 1 species